AUCGAACGCUGGCGGCAGGCCUAACACAUGCAAGUCGAGCGGAUGAAGGGAUCUUGCUACUGGAUUGAGCGGCGGACGGGUGAGUAAUGCCUAGGAAUCUGCCUGGUAGUGGGGGAUAACGUCCGGAAACGGGCACUAAUACCGCAUACGUCCUGAGGGAGAAAGUGGGGGAUCUUCGGACUUCAGGCUAUCAGAUGAGCCUAGGUCGGAUUGGUUAGUUGGUGGGGUAAAGGCAUACCAAGGCGACGAUCCGUAACUGGUGUGAGAGGAUGAUCAGUCACACUGGAACUGAGACACGGUCCAGACGCCUACGGGAGGCAGCAGUGGGGAAUAUUGGACAGUGGGCGAAAACCUUGUCCAGCCAUGCCGCGUGUGUGAAGGAGGUCUUCGGAUUGUAAAGCACUUUAAGUUGGGGGGAAGGGCAGUAAGUUAAUACCUUGCUGUUUUGACGUUACCAACAGAAGAAGCACCGGCUAACUUCGUG
rnacentral:rRNA from 1 species